UGGGGAAUAUUGGACAAUGGGGGAAACCCUGAUCCAGCAAUGCCGCGUGUGUGAAGAAGGCCUGCGGGUUGUAAAGCACUUUCGGCGGGAAAGAAAAGUCGCGCGUUAAUACCGUGCGGCCUUGACGUUACCCGCAAAAGAAGCACCGGCUAACUCCGUGCCAGCAGCCGCGGUAAUACGGAGGGUGCAAGCGUUAAUCGGAAUUACUGGGCGUAAAGCGCACGUAGGCGGGAAAUUAAGUCGGAUGUGAAAUCCCCGGGCUUAACCUGGGAACUGCAUCCGAUACUGGUUGCCUAGAGUAUGGAAGAGGGAAGCGGAAUUCCAGGUGUAGCGGUGAAAUGCGUAGAUAUCUGGAGGAACAUCAGUGGCGAAGGCGGCUUCCUGGUCCAAUACUGACGCUGAGGUGCGAAAGCGUGGGGAGCAAACAGG
rnacentral:rRNA from 1 species